CUCUCUUUGGAUCCAUAUCAGCUUCCACUCCAUUCAAUUUUUUAUAUGAAUGGAGUGGAAGCUGAUAUGGGUCCAAAUAUAA